rnacentral:rRNA from 1 species
CACGUAGGGUGCGAGCGUUGUCCGGAAUUAUUGGGCGUAAAGAGCUCGUAGGUGGUUUGUCGCGUUGUUCGUGAAAUCUCACGGCUUAACUGUGAGCGUGCGGGCGAUACGGGCAGACUGGAGUACUGCAGGGGAGACUGGAAUUCCUGGUGUAGCGGUGGGAUGCGCAGAUAUCAGGAGGAACACCGGUGGCGAAGGCGGGUCUCUGGGCAGUAACUGACGCUGAGGAGCGAAAGCGUGGGGAGCGAACAGG